UACAGAGGGUGCAAGCGUUGUUCGGAAUUAUUGGGCGUAAAGGGCGCGUAGGCGGUGCGGUAAGUCUGUAGUGAAAUCUCUGGGCUCAACUCAGAGUCUGCUGCAGAAACUGCCGGGCUUGAGUGUGGGAGAGGUGAGUGGAAUUCCUGGUGUAGCGGUGAAAUGCGUAGAUAUCAGGAGGAACACCUGUGGCGAAAGCGGCUCACUGGACCAUAACUGACGCUGAUGCACGAAAGCUAGGGGAGCAAACAGG
rnacentral:rRNA from 1 species